rnacentral:lncRNA from 1 species
CGGCGGCGAGAGCUGUGUCUGAAGACACCGCAAGACAACAGUGGAGUCCUGGUGGAGAGGACAGAUGCAGAUAUAGAUAGUGAGAGAGAGAGAAGAGGUUCGCUAUGGGUUGCUUUGUAAAGCCAGCAUUGGUGCUUAGUAUUUUUUUACGUUAGAUUACUCCUCGGAUAUUUUUAAAAUUAGAUUAUACUAUUCAAACGUUACCAACACCCACUCAACCAUAGGGCCCCACGUCAUCUAACGCAUAUUUCUUAAUCCCAAUGGCUAAAAUAUUACAAAGGCACCGCAAUAACUUGUACACUUUAAAGUAUUGCAGCUCAUUAUCUUAGUCCGGCAUUAUACUCCUUAUGAGGUACGAUCACCGUGUAUCAUAAGUUAUUUUCGAUGAGUAGAGCUUUCUGCAAUCGACGAAUCCACACCGUUAACGUCUAUUUAGAGCAUUUAAAACUUCUGAAAUCAAUUUUAUUAAUUUUUCGACCAUCAUUACUUACGAUCACAAGCUCACAAAUGACCAAGUUUUUAACGGAUCGGAUCAUGGAUGCUAGUUAACGCGUGGAAAAGAAUGGAAUAGGUUGAAUAUUUGAUAUAGAAAAUUCUAUUCAAUACAUAAUAAACGAUCAUAACUCUGAUAUUAAAUUGAAUGAUCGAUUAAUCAUUUUUAAUAGGACGUCGUUCGAUUUUUGACUUGUUCAUUUUAUUUGCCGCUUGAUGGAUUUUAUUAUGUAUUUUGAAAAAUAAAAUUUAUGUUUUAAAAGUUUUCAAAUACUCUAGAUCGCUAUUUACGGGAAGUGGAUUGUCGAUUCGAAAGCUCCAUCUCGCAAAACAACUUUUGAGUUACUAAGGGACCACUUUUAUCAUAAGAGUAUGUAGCCCUUAUUCUAUAUAUUAUAUAGUAUAUAGUAUAUAUUAAUUAGCCGCUGGAUACUGAUUAGUAGUAAAAACUUUUUUUGCUAAUCAAUGUUUUUAACCCUUAGAUGAAAAUUGUGGGUAUAGGAUGAUAUUUAGGUCAGUUAGAGAGUUGAGUGGCCACCUAGGUUGAAGUGGUCCGCCAUAGGUUAAUAGUUUUAUCCAUGGUUUAGUAAUGUGAAAAGAGUUGAUCAAUGCGCGAAACUGGGUAAAGCAACAAUGAAAUUUGUGUACUAAUAGUAGCCCAGGUCCAAUAUAUAUAUAGAUAUAUAUAUAUAAUAUUUUUAUAUAGAGUUGUGCCUGGUAUGUUAUGGGAAGCACGGAGGCCUCCGUGGCUUCCAAGUCGUUUUCAGAUUUUCGGCACUAUCGAAUGCGACGUUCGGCUCGUUAGAUGUUAGUCUAGAGUAUCUGACAAUACCUAGCAAAUAAAUUUUGCCGAAUUUUUCGAUUAUUUGCCCUAAGUGAUCGAAGGCGGCUCAGAAAUCAAUAUUUUAACGGCGGUGGUGGCGGUUGAAGUUUAACGGUGUAGAAAUAUCAAAUCACAUAUGAAAUUUUGAUAGAAAUUCUUAUAUAUCAUAUAACAAGAUCAAUAACUUUAGAUCUAAAAUUUUAAUGUUCAUGAUCAUUUUAGGCUGGAAUGAUAUUAGUAGUAAAACACUUUUUUUGCUAUCAAGUUUUUUAACCCUUAGAUGAAAAUUGUAGGGUUAGGAUGAUAUUUAGGUCAGUUUAGAGUGAGUGGCCCCCCUAGGGUUGAGUGGUCCCUAGGUUAUAGUAUUAAUCAUGGUUUAGUAAAUGAUGAAAAGAGUUGAUCCAAUGGCUUAAAAACUCUGGUAGCAACAAUGAAAUUUUGCUACUAAUAGAUAGCCCAGUCCAAUAUAUAUAUAAUAUAUAUAUAUAUAUUAUAUAUAUAUAUAUAGAGUUGUGCUGGUAUGCUUAUGGAAGCACGGAGGCCUCCGUGGCUUCCAAGUCGUUUUCGAUGUUCGGACUUUCGAAUCGACGAUCGGCUCCGUUAGGAGUUAGAUCUAGAGUAUCUGAAAUACCUACGAAAAUAAAUUUUGCGAUUUUUUCGAUAUCAUUUGCCUAGUGAUCGAAGGGCUCAAAAUCAAUAAUUUUAACGGCCGUGUGUGAGCGCGGUUGCAGGUUUAACGGUGUAGAAAUAUCAAAUCACAUGAAAUUUUGAUUAGAAAUUCUUAUAUUAUAUAAACAAGAUCAAUAAUUGUCUAAAAUUUCAAAUGUCAUAUCAUUAUAUUUUGUAAGAUUUUUAUUUUCAGCCGUUGAUUUUGAGCCACUUCGAUCACUAGGCAAAUGAUAUCGAAAAAUCGCAAAAUUUAUUUUCUAGAUACUUCAAAUACUCUAGAUCAAGUCUAAUGGAGCCGAUCGUCAAUUCGAAAGUCCGAACAUCGAAAACAAAGUGGAAGCACGGAGCCCUCCGUCCCGGCUCUGUAGAAAUAGUGGGGUGAGAACUACAACAAGUACAAAUAGAGUACAAAAUUUGCACACGCGGAAGCAUACAUAAUGGCUUGCACGAGGGCGAGCAAUGGCCAAAGUGAAAGUACUAACUAAUCAACAUACAAGUACUAUGAUUAAAUUUAAAUCACAAACAUGCAUGCAACUUGUACAUUUGCAUUCUUUUCUUAUCACCAUUUUUUUUUUCUUUUACAUCACAUGAUAUCUCAAAAUAUAACUUUUGCAUUAAAAUAUAAAUCCUUUUACAUAAUUCAUUUAAACAUCUUUGAUACUACUAAAAUCAUCAAGUACAAAAGAUGAUGUAUAAGGGUAUGCAGCUAAACCAAAAUGUGAAACCAACUCGGGUGGUCUCUAUCUAUGGCGCGAUACCUUUACCGUAAUCAUUCGCUGGCUCGCUCGGUCCCGGCUCUAUGAAAAUAGUGGGGUGAGAACUACAACAAAGUUUCCAGUGGGUUCGGCAACCGACCUCGCCGACUUUUCUACUAGGUCUAAAUCAGCCAUAAUAGAAGAAAAAAUAGAUAGUAGCCAACUAACAAAUAUAGCUAAUAUGCCUGAACAAUGUAUAGUAAAUCAUAUGCUUAAUGAAAUGCUCAUGAUGAAUGCAAGUUUACUUUACUUUAUUCAAUCUCGCGGUUAACCCGUCAGGCCCUCAGCUUCCUCCCUUAGGGUUCCAUAACUCACCAACUCAAGUCCCAAAUAACGGGCCCUCAGCUUCCUCCCGUGGGACCGUCCUCUGGGGAUUCCCCUUCCCAGUGAUGACAACUCCGGAGCGUACUAUUAUUUCACAUGCAUUUGUACUCACAACAUGCAAUAAGAAGCUCUCAAUUAACCCUACUAUGCACAAUUCUCAACAUUCACAUAUGCUCAAAAAUGACACUUUAGAUAUAAAAGGAAAUUCAACGUUUUCGGAAUGCACCACCCACCUUAUAUGGUUAUAGAGGUGCUACGAUUCAAUUCUUAGAAUUUUUUGGGCGCCUAUUCCGUGUGCUGCGACUAUCUGUACCAAAAAUGACGUUUUUGUCAAUAUCUUUGCAUACACUCGUCGGAUCAUCGAACCGAGUUCAUAUUCUUGUUAGAAAUAUUCCUAAUUAGGUUUCUACAAGGCAAAUUUGCCUCGAAAACAACCUAGGGGCAAAAACCCCAAAUUUGGUGCCCUAACAAUGCCAUUUAUUAAAUCUUUGGGUUUGAUCUCUAGAACAAGCAAAAGAAAGCUUGUUGAACCUCUAGGAACUCUUUUAGAACCUUUUCUAAGCCUUUCAAACCAUUUCUAGGGCAUAAAAACUAAACUCUAGGUUUCUACCAUGGGAGCACAUGAGGAAAGCCUUAUUUUUAUGUGUUCUAUAGCCUCUAGAAGGUUUCUACUCUUGUAAGAAGCUCAAACCCAAAGAUCUAGGGCAUAAAAUUCAAGCCCUAAUCCUAACCUUACAAGAAAACCUUACCUUGGCCCUAAGCUCUCUAAAGUCCACCUUGUAGGAGAGACCCAAACCUCCAAAAGCCUAAAAAAUCUCCUCCAAAUCCGUCUCCUACUUCUUCUCUUUGCUCCUUGGAGAGAUUUCUAGAGAGAGAAUGAGAGAAAUGAGAGAGGAGAGGUGUUUGGCUGUUGUGAACUGGUGGGAAGGGUGUUGGGGUGAUUUUAUAAGGUGCUACAAUAGCAAAAAGGCCCUUCACUUCUUUCUAUUUAUAGCAGACUUCAACCUGCUGUCGGGUCCAAUGUGUACCGGUACAAGGUGGGCUAUCACCGGUUACACAAUCUCGCAUAGGCAAACCCGAGAGCAAUUGUUCGGGUUUUGCAAAAGUGUGCCGGUACAUACCAGGGGUGUCACCGGUAACACGACUUCGCAAAGGCAAACCCCAGAGUAAUUUCUCUCGGUUUGCAGUGUUGUGCCGGUACAACAUCAAUGUUGUACCGGUACACAAUGCCCAGACUUGGGUUUUAGGCCGAGCAAUGCCAAGACCCUUCUAACUCUUCCCAACUCACUUUUAACUCUUCCAACCUUGUUGGAAAGUUAAAUAAGACUUGUCUAACUAUUUCUUUCGCACACUUGAGCCAAUUUGGCCAAAGUUCGAUACUCCCUACCGAGUUUCGGUACGUUACAAUAUAGAUAACUCAAAAGAUGGCAAUCUAGAUGGGAAACUAGUAAAGGUGGGCAAUCUAAUAUGAUAAUUUGGUUGGUGGGUGAGUUGGGAUCCCCUGGUGAUAGUUAAAUUGACCCCUGGUGAUAGUAGGAUUGGCGUGUUGAAAAGUAGGUUGUCGGCUUUUGAGUUAUUAUGGUUCCCGAACUAUGAUAACUAUCAUAUCAUCGUAUUAAGAGAGAGAGAUAUAUAUAUUAUCGUUUGCCCGAGGCAACGGUGGGUAAACAAAAGCUACUACCUCGGAGGUUUAGCUGCUAGCCGUGACAACUUGUACUAGAUAUGGUGAACUUCACAAAUCUUUAGUUAAAAGUUUAGAAAAGCUGUAGUAAACGGAUUACUAGUUUCCCAAAGUUUUAAACAUUAAAAUUACCAGCUAUACUCCGCAAAAGAACAAACUGCCGCAUUUCUAUAGGUUUAGUUAACUUAAAAACAAUCUUUUAAGAAAUUUGAUAAACUUUGUUCUAGAUAUGAGAAUUAGAACUAAUGUUCUGAGGAUAGUAGUAAAAUAUUUCUUAUAAGUAAAAGUCGGCAAAUAAAAACACAGGUGAGCUACCUAUUCUCUUGUUAUAGCUUUUACAUAUUUUAAACUAAAGAUUUGUGAAGUUCACCAUAUCUAGUACAAGUUGCCACGGCUAGCAGCUAAACCUCCGAGGUAGUAACUUUUGUUUACCCACCGUUGUCUCGAGCAAAGAUCGAGUUGAGAUAUAUAUAUAUAUAUAUAUAUAUAUAUAUAUAUAUAUAUAUAUCAGACCCCGAUGAUAUGAGAAUACUCAUAUCUGGGGGAAUAUGAGUAUUUAAAAAUUGGCAACUAACUACCCUACACACCAAUCCUACUACCACCAGGGGUGAAUCUUAUUAUCGCCAGGGGAUCUCAACUCACCCAUCAACCAACUUAUCAUACUAGAUUGCCCACCUUUACUACUUACCUUAUUUAGAUUCCCAGCUUUUGAAUACUCAUAUUCCCUCGGUUAUGAAUAUUUUCAUAUCAUCGGCCUGAGAUAUAUAUAUAUAUAUNGUAGCCGGACUCUCUCUCUCUCUCUCUCUCUCUCUCUCUCUCUAUAUAUAUAUAUAUAUAUAUAUAUAUAUAUAUAUAUAUAUAUAUAUAUAUAUAUAUAGCAGGGUUGUUGUGCUCUAAGGAGCACGGAGGCCUCCAUGCUCCUGAGCCGUUUUCGAUGAUGGAAUUUUCGAAUCGACAAUCGGCUUAGUUAGACUUGAUCUAGUGCAUUUGAAGUUUCUAGAAAAAAUAAUGUUUGUGAUUUUUUGAUAUCAUUACUUAGUGAUCGAAAGGAUUCAACAUCAAUAAUUUUUAAUGGUUGAUAUCUACCAUUUUCAAGUUUAACGGUGUAGAAGUAUUUAAAUCAAAUGAAAUUUUGAUACAAAAUUCUUUAUACUAUCUACAACAAGAUCAAUAUUUCUGAUCGAAAAUUUUAGUGCUAUAUCACCACCUUUUAUAGAAUUUUUAUUUUCAGUCGUUAAAAAUUAUUGUUUUUGAAUCAUUUCGAUUGCUAGGUAAAUGAUAUCGAAAAAUCGUACAAAUUAUUUUCUAGAAACUUCAAAUAUGCUAGAUCAAGUCUAGCGGAGCCGAUCGUCGAUUCGAAAAUUCCAUCAUCGAAAACGGCUCAGGAGCACGGAGGCCUCCGUGCUCCUGAGAGCACAGCAGCCCUGUUGUCUCUCUCUCUCUCUCUCUCUCUCUCUAUAUAUAUAUAUAUAUAGAGAGAGAGAGAGAGAGAGAGAGAGAGAGAGAGAGUAGGUCUUGUGUGCUAUUAGGAGCACGGAGCCCUCCGUGCUCCUGAGCCGUUUUCGAUAAUGGAAUUUUCGAAUCGAUGAUCGGCUCUGUUAGACUUGAUCUAGCGUAUUUGAAGUUUCUAUAAAGUAAUUUUUGCGAUUUUUUGAUAUCAUUUACCUAGCAAUCGAAAUGAUUCAAAAUCAAUAAUUUUUAAUGGUUGAUAUCUGCCGUUUUCAAGUUUAACGAUGUAGAAGUAUUCAAAUCAGAUGAAAUUUUGAUACAAAAUUCUUUAUACUAUCUACAACAAUAUCAAUAUUUCUGAUCGAAAAUUUUAGUGCUAUAUCACCACUUUUUAUAUGAUUUUUAUUUUCAGUCGUUAAAAAUUAUUGAUUUUGAAUCCUUUCGAUUGCUAGGUAAAUGAUAUCGAAAAAUUGCAAAAAUUAUUUUCUAGAAACUUCAAAUACGCUAGAUCAAGUCUAACGGAGCCGAUCGUCAAUUCGAAAAUUUCAUCAUCGAAAACGAUUCAGGAGUACGGAGGGCUCCAUGCUCCUGAAAGCACAGUAGCCCUGCUAUAUAUAUAUAUAUAUAUGCUAGUUGAGUGUACGUAUAAAUACAGGUAAUAAUUAUUUUAAUUUAUUUUAAAUUAAUAUAAAUAUGUAUAUUAUAUUUAUUUAAAAAUUUAUAAUAAAAAUUAUAUUUUAUAAAUUCAUAUGUUAUAUUUUAUUAGAAAAUAUUUGUAAUAUUCUAUUUUUUUUUAUAUACAUUAAAUAUUUUUAUAUAUUUUUUGAUUUCUGAUGAUCUAAAAUUUAAAUAUGUGUUUUAAACAGAAAGCAUCAAAAUUUAAUUCAUAUUUAUUUAAAAAUUUAAAAUUUAAUUUUGAUCCACUAUAAUUAAAAUUUUUGGGGUAUAAUCACUUAAUUAAGUGAUCAUAACUGUUCGUAGAAAAUAUAGGAAAUAUUCUUUUAUUUCUUUUUGGAUUUCUUUAUAGAUGGAUAAGAAUGCUAUUUUUUAACAGAUUAAUUAUAACCAUUCGUUUUUAUUUGAGAUUUUUUUAAUUAAGUGAUUAUACCCAUUCGUACACGUUCGUGGGAAAUAUAGAAAAUAUUUUUUAUUCCUUUUUGGAUUCCGUCUGUUAUUGUCAGAAUUUCUAUACUCUUUUAUAUAUAGUAUAGAUAUAGAUAUAUAUAUUGAAUUGAGCUCAUGUGCUUUUAGAAGCAUAGAAGCUCAACGUACUUGUAAUUUUUUAGUCCUCGAAUCGUCUCAAAAUCUGUGCAGCACUAGACAGUAAUGCAUUAGUAAAUUCACAAGGUUAUUUAUUUUUUAUCGUUCAUUUUUCGACUAUUCAAUGAACUUAAUAACGGAUUUUAAAAUUUAUAAAAUUUAGCUUUUAGAUGUUAUAAAUACUUUAGAUCAACUUUUAUGAUUUCGAUUAUUAAUUUGGAAUCCCUAUCAUCUAAAACGAAUUAGCUGGCGAAGGUCUCCGUCCUCCUAAAAGGAUGGUCGCUGUACUCUCUCUCUCUCUCUCUCUAUAUAUAUAUAUAUAUAUUGAAUUGAGCUCAUGUGCUUUUAGAAGAUAGACACUCAGGGCCUGUUUGGAUACACAGUAAAAUAUCUCCACGGAAUUUGUAAAUUGUGGUUUCGGUCUAGAUAAAAUAGAGAAUCCUGCAACUCUAAAAAAUUCCAGGGAUUCAAUUUUUAAACUGUUUGGAUACGCAUUGUACAAUUUCACAGAAUUUUUCUAAAUUUUAAGAUUAAAAGUUAAAAUUAAAAAUUUCAAAAAAAAUUUAAAAUUUAAAAUUUAAAAUUUGAUAUGUGAACUUUUGAAUUUUGAAUUUUAAAUUUUAAAUUUUCAAAUUUGAAAUUUACAAAUUUAAAAUUUAAAAUUAAAAAAAUCUAAAUUUAAAUUUUAAAUUUUUAAAAUUUUAAAUUUAAAAUUUUAAAAUAAAAUUUUAAAUAAAUUUUAAAUUUGAAAUUUGAAUUGAAUUUGAUAAUUUGAAUUUUAAUUUAAAAUAAAUUAAAAUUUAAGUUUGAAAAAAUAAUUUUAAAAUUUAAAGUUUUAAAAUUUUGAAAUUUGAACUACGAGACUUGAGGUUUGAAAUUUGAAAAAUUGAAUUGAUAAUUUUAAAUUUUAAAAUUUUAAAAGAUUAAAAAUGUUAAAAUUUAAAAGUUUGAAAUUUAAAUUUAAAGAUUUAAAUAUUAAAGUUUGAAUUUAAAAUUUAAAUUUAAGUUUAAAAUUUAAAUUUGAAAAUUGAAAAUUGAAAAUUGAAAAUUAUAUUUGAUAAUUUUAUUUAAAUAAAAAUUUUAAAAUUUGAAUUUUAUUUUAAUUUACAUUUAGAUUUUAAAAUUUAAAUUUUAAUUUAAAAAAAAAUUUAAAAUUUAAUAGUUUAAAUUUGAAAUUUGAAAUUUAAAUUUGAUAUUUGAAAUUUGAAAUUUGAAAUUUAAAGUUUGAAAUUUAAAAUUUAAAAUUUAAAAUUUUAAUUUAAAAUUUCAAAUGUGAUAUUUCAAAUUUCAAAUUUUAAAUUUUAAAUUUUAAAUUUUAAAUCUAUGUUGAAAUUUAAAAUCUAUGUGGAAAUUGAAAAUUUUAUGUUGAAAUUUAAAAGUUAGAACUUGAUGCAUUUUUUUGAAUAAUGGAGCUCAAGAAUGGUGGAAUUUUUUUCCUUUGGUUAGAGUGGAUUAUACUUUUACUCCAUUUUUUGGAGUAUAGUUUAACUAUACUCCAAAUAUUACGUUACUUUUUUUCCUCCCAAACGCUUUAUAGGAUAUUUUUCCUACCACCAUAGCAUAGUUUAACUAUGCUACGUUUUCAGGAGUAUCCAAACGGGCCUCAAUAUAUUUGUGAUUUUUUAAACCUCAAAUCGUCUCAAAAUUUAUACCGUAUUAAAUGAUAAUAUAUUAGUAGAUGAGAUUUAAUGAAAUAUAUUAUUAAUUAGUACUCAACGAAUCUUGAGGCAAUAGUCACCGAUAAUAAAUGUUCUCGUGUUUUUAAUAAAAGAAUAGAAGCUCAUGUCUCUCUCUGUAUAAGGUGUACAAUUGGGGUUGUGGACCAAGUCCAAUCGACAGUUUCUCUCCGUUGCCUUUGUGAUUCACAUUGCCUACUUUAUGACUAGUUGCUAUAAUAUAAUUCUAAUUAAGAUAUAUAUAUAAUAUACAUAUACAUAUCCUCCCCGCACUCUCUCUCUUUUUGUUUGUUUGUUUUUUCCUACUUGCUGUUUUUGAAGAGAGAGAGACAUCUAGAGAGAGAGAGGAAUGGAGGGGGAUGAGGGAGGAGGGGAGUGGGGGAUCGAGCGGUAUCUCCGCGACCAUUUCGACCUGCCGGCGAAGAACCCGUCGGAGGAGGCGCGGCGGAAAUGGCGCUCCGCCGUCGGCAAGGUCGUCAAGAACUACCGCCGCCGCUUCCGCAUGAUCCCCGACCUCGACCAGCGCCUCCAGGACGAAGCCAAGCGCCGAUCCAUCCAGGUUUUAAAAAUCAUCACCAUCAUCAUCAUCAUCAUCAAGUAUCAUUUUUUUUGUACAAAUCAAUCAUUUUGGAUCCGAAUUGUUGGAUGAAUACUAGUGUUUCUGCGUGCGCUUUUCUUUCUCUCUAUCUCUCUCUCCAUUUUUUUUCUUUUAAAAAAAUAAAAAUUAAUGUUCGCAUUACAUUCUAGUUGCUGUUGUCGUUGUUGUCGCUGUUGUUGUUGUUGUUGAUUUGGAUGUGGUCGAGACGAAUGGUGGGGACGAUCGUGGAGGUCAAUCGUUGAAAUCAAUGCGGAAGAAACUACCACGAAGCUUCGCGCUGUGACGUCCAAUAUGGGGUAGGGUUUUCAAAUGUACGGUCCGCAGUGGUGGGCCCCUGUUGUCACGAUCUGAUUUUUUUUUUUUCUUUUUCAAAUUUAGUUAGUUCGCAUUGGGUGGGCAUUUUCUUGCUUGAUUGGGCCACGGAGUCUAAUGAAACGGCUGGGAAUCCGAUCCGAUUCCAUUCAUCACCGACCUUUCCGGUCGCUUUUUCUCGUGGAUUUCGUGCCACAAUGUGGUUUUGCUGGUACUUGUCUAAGCUGUACUUUGUCCAGGGACUUUCCAAAAAACUAAUCGCUGCGAAAAUUAGAGUGGAAUCUUGGUAGGUCCUUGUUGGGGUCUAAAAUGUUCCUUAUGGUAAUAAAGAAUCCUUUUCCCAGGAACCUUUUUGAACAAGGGCGUGUACUUUUGAUACCCGUUCACAAACUAUUGCCCAGAGACUUUUCAACUAACUAAUUGCCAGGAAAAUUAGAGUGGAAUCUUGGUAGGUACUUGUUGUGACUUGUGGGACAAAUGAACCAAGUUAUUAGGCCUGCAGAUUCUUCUUUUAGAUACCAUUACUUGCAAAAUUGGUUUCUUUUAUUCAGCUAUGUGUUGACAUUAGAAGACAUGUUGCGUAGAAGGCCUUCUCUAAAGGGUAAAUAACACAACAAGUCCCUAAACAUUUUGUCAAGAAGCAUUGUGGUUCGCAAACUCUAAUUUAUCUUAUUCGAGGGCUCAAUUUUUGUGAGCUGUUACAAUCUAGUUUUGCUAUUUGGUUCUGUUGCAUUACUUGUUCCUCCUUUUCUGUCCUUGCAUAGUCCUUUUGCCCUUUCCUCUAUCUCUAGAGUUAUAGAGAUCCCACUAGCUUUGCCUGUUCCCCACUUCUCAGCUUCGAUACUUACUCUAGAUUACUAACUUACACAACUAUUUCUGCUGUUUUCACCUCUCCUCUCUCUUAAACCUUGUGCCAUUCUUGACCUUAAGUAUGUUGUCAAACUCUUUUUGCCCUUGAACCAUGUUGUUUUCUCGACCACCUUCUUCUCCUCUUUUCCUCCUUCCAAAAUUCGAGCCCAAUUUUUGUCCAACCUUUGUCUAAUCGUCCAGCUCUUAUUUGCUUCACACAUUGGAUUGACAAACUGUUUCUUAUCAUUCAUCUAGUCACUUCCACAGUCAUUGCAUCAUCUUUAGUCUUGUCAGCUCAAAGCACCAUAAACUUGAGGAUCUCUCGAAGGUAACCCUAGUUUUGACAUAACGUUGACAUGAGAGGAUGAACAAUCACUUCCAAUGACGAAUCACUUGCUUGAUGGCUUGUCAUUUUGAGAUUCCUCAGCGCAACAAAGAUAACUUUUGUUUGUAAAAUGGAUGUUGAUUGUGGUUUAUAUAAUUAUGCGAGCCAUGGAUAAUGACUAUAUCCAUCAACCCAGAUGAAUGAACUAUGAACCUAAUCCACGACUUGGUUGCAGCAUUUUAUAAAGUUUGAUCAAUUGGCUUAGGCAAUUAAAAGAGUGUAACAACUAGUAGCUUUGGAACUUGCAAAAUAUAUUCUUUAUAAGUCAUUAAUUAUUAAUGCAAUUAUCGCAGCCUAUGUGCAAUGCUAGUGUCAGAAUAAACUUUGCUACAGUAUCGGAGGUGGCACUUUUUCAAUAUAUAUAUAUAUAUAUAUAUAUAUAUAUAUAUAUAUAUAUAUANUUUUUUCAAUAAUGUGAUGAGAGAGCUGUUUGAUUAAUCACAUGUUGAUUUCCAGUUUAACAGCUUGAUUGGAUGGACACCAGUAUAUAUUUAUGGAUAUGCAUUAGAUCUAGCUAAAAUCAGGGAUUUUGCGGUAUCAUAUAAGAGUCGUAUAUUUUAUUUGAUGAUUGUUUGGAAACUUAUGAAAAUUUUAUCAAUCUCCAAAAACUAGUUAGAAAGUUUCAAUUUGAAAAGCUAGUUGAAAAAAAACUCCAAAGUUGAAAACAUAGCUGUUGGAGACUACUCAUGCUCAUAAUUUAAAGCUGUUUCAACGAGAGCAACCAAUUAGCAUUUGCUCAUAGUUUCCAUUUAAAAGUUCAAUUUUGUAGAAAUUAUGGUUGUUUGGCUGAUAAAUAAUAUUUAAUGUUGAGAAGGAAGGAAAAGAAGAAAUAUGAGUUCAUGGAUCUCAUUCUUUGGAUAAUGUGCUGCUGCUGUACAUUGGAGUGUUCAUUGCUACAAAACUAAAAUACAAUCUACCGAACUAGGAAUUGCAAAUUUAUUGUCAUAUAAAACUAUACACUUCAAAAAUGUUAAUUUAGAAUUCAUAAUAUAUAUAAAACAAAAUUAAGAGUUCAUUAAAAAAAGUAUACACAACACUAGAAAGAAUGAGGGAAGUGGAGAGGCAGCGCCUUUCCCUCAUCUCGCUCCUCUCUGCCCAGUAAGAGAAGGGAAGGGGGAAAAGGGUACCCCCUCCCUCAUACAUACUUCUAGUGAGAGAAGUAGUCCCUUCCUAUCUUUCUUCUUGCCUAGUAAGAUAGGGAGGAAAGGAGUACUCUAUCUUUUUUUCAUCCUGUUGCAGAGAAGGGAGGUGGUGAAAGGGCGCCCCUUUCUCUCUCUCUUAGUGGAGAGUAGAGAAGGUGAAGGGGCCCUCUUCUUCCUUUUUACUUGGUUAGAGUGCCCUCUUCCUUCUUUUAACUUAGUUGAAGUGACUAUCUCUUCUAUUUGACUAGAAAGAUACGAUUCAUAGGAUUUCUUGCCAUUGUUAGUAAUUUUUCGGGAAGUGUUAUGGUAUGAAGGAAGGAAAAAGAAAUAAAUGUUUGUAAGGGGGUGGUUACCGAUGCUUCAAAUGAAAGAGGAUUUUUGUUGAUCAGAGUAGAAUAUCAUUUUUCCCAUAUAUCUUGUUGGAUAGGAUUUCUUUCUAUUAGGUUUGGGUUUUUAAGAGACUAUCCAAGCACCUUUUUAGAGAACAUAUCCUAUGGAGUAGGAAAGAUUUUCGAUAUCACAUUUUAGAGGGUCUUAGGAAUGGACCGUAUUGGCCGGUGUAUAUAGGGCCAAGGAUCGCCUGUGUUGCCGGUGUCGUACUGUGCCUAGGUUGUGUUGGCAUGUUGCACGAUGUUAGCCUGCUGUAUAGAUGAAAUGGUUCUUUUGAGCUUUUGAGGUCUUUUUGGGUUUUGACCGUAUUGGCUGGUGAAUUAUAUGAUAUAAUAUUUCAUUUUAUGUAAUUUCAUCUAUAAUAUGAAACAGUAUAUGUAAUAUUCUAUAAUAUAAGAUGUGUUAGGCUAAAACAUUUAUGAAGUAAACGAGACUGUCACAUUGUUUCUACUGUUGGACUAUCUAAAUCGAUGGUCAGCAUUGCUAGACAUUAUCUAGGUUAUUUGAACUUUCUAUUAACCAAAUUUUUGUAAUUUUUGGGCAUCAUUAACCUUUGCAUUUCAAGUGGUUUCAAAUUCGACAACUUUUAGUAGCAAAUAUAAGGUGAAUUUGGGACCACUUGAUCCCUAGGCAAAUGUUGUCGUACAAUUAUGAAAUUGGUUUCUAUAAGGUUCAGAUUAUCUAGAUUGUGCUUAACAAUGCCUAUCAUCUAAUCGGAUGUCCCAUAGCCGGAAACAAUUAGGAAGUAAAUGGUUCCAUUUACUUCUAGAAGUUUUCUAACUUUAUUUAUUUAUUUAUCCAUUUUAUGCUAUAUUAUGUAUAAUAUAAUUUGUAUACAUUAUAAUUCUACAUAUAUCGUUAUAAUAUAUAAUAUAGAUCAUAGUAAAUAAAAUAUAAUAUAAAGUUUUUAUAUAAUAAAAUAUACAUAAUGAAUAAAAUACUUGUGUGAUAAUAUAUUAUUAACUUUGUUGAAUAAUAAUAUUUAAUUUAAUAUAACUUAAAUAAAUAAAAUAGUAUAGCUUUUAAUAAAAGAAUAUUUAAUAUAUAAUGAAAAGGUAAAACAUAUAGAACUUAUUUGAACUAUGAACCCUUUUGAAUUGGCAACCCCACCUUACAAAAUUUUGAUUUUGCUACCCAACCUUUCAAUUUGUUGGAUUUGUGUUGGUCAACAGUACUUUGGCUUCAAAAUUUUAAGCUAAUUACUUUAAUAAAUUUAUAGUUGUGGGGAUCACAUGAAAUAUACUAAAUAAAUCUGUAAAGGUAAACAAAGCAUUAAAAUUUUGAAGUCAAAGUGCCGUGGACUGACUCAAAUCAAACAAAUUGAAAGGUUGGAUAGUAAAAUCAAAAAAUUGAAAGGUUGGGUAGCUAAUUCAUAAUGGUCCAUAGUUCAGGUAAUGUAUGCAAGUUUUUACCAAUAAUAUUAUAAUGUUGUUUUCUUUUUUAAUGUAAUUCGCUUUACAUUAUAUGAUUUUAGUUAAAAAAAUAUUUUAACAAAAAUAAUGUUUAUUUUUACACACACACACACACACACACACAUACACACAUAUAUAGUCCGGUUGGGGUGCUUUUAGUAGCACUAAGGUGUUGGUGCUAUAUUCUUUUUGGUACAUAUAUAUUAACCCUAAUGGCCUUUGGAUCAUGCACAAUAGUGGGCUCCACAAGUAACCAUUAUUGUUGACUUUUGAUCCAAUAGCCAAAAGGGUAGAUCUAAGGGCUAAAAAUUAUAAGCACCUAAGGCUUUGGUGCUUUCAGAAGCAUUUCGGCUUAUAUAUAUAGAGAGAGUUGAGCUGGAAUGCUAUUGGUAACAAGCGGGCUCCGUUGCCAUUCAUUUGUUUUCGAUGAUGGAGCCUUCAAAUCGACGAUCGGCACUGUUGAACAUGAUCUAUACCACUUGAAGUAUCUAGAAACCAAAUUUCAAAUCUUUUUAACAUCAUUGACUUGAUGAUUAAAGGGUUUCAAAAUUUGUAAUUUUAAUGGUAGAUAUGAGAUGUUUUCUUGUUUAACGGUAUAAAGCUAUUCAAAUCAAUUGAAUUUUGGUUAGAAAAUUUUUUGAACUAUUUAGAACAAGAUAUAUACUCUCAAUCUUGAUUAUAAAAUUCCUAUAAUUAAUUUUUAGAGGAUAUUUAUUUUCAGCCGUUCAUUUUUACUCCUACUUGGUGGACAAGAGAACAAUAUUGGAAAAUCAUGAAAUUUGAUUUCUAGAUACUUCAAGUGGUAUAGAUCAUUUUUAACAGUGCCGAUCGUUGAUUUGGAGGCUUCAUCAUCGAAAACAAUGGUGCCGAUCGUCGAUUUGGAGGCUCCAUCAUCGAAAACAAAUGGGUGGCAACGGAGCCUGUUUGUUACCGAUAGUAUUCCAGCUCAACUCUCUCUCUCUCUCUCUCUCUAUAUAUAUAUAUAUAUAUAUAUAUAUAUAUAUAUAUAUUGAGUAGGGCUACUAUACUCUUAUGAGUAUAGAGCCCUUCGUACUUAUAAGUUGUUUUCGAUGUUGGGCUUUUCGAAUCGAUGAUCCACACCGUUAAACAUGAUCUAUAGUAUUUGAAACUUCUAGAAAAUAAAUUUCGUAAUUUUUUGAAAUCAUUGUAAAGUCUAUCAAGCGGGUAUAAAAUAAACGGUUAAAAUCAAACGACAUCCUAAAAAUGGAUGAUCGGAUUCUUCAAUUUAAGAUCGGAGUUAUUGAUGUUUAUUUAGGUAGUGAAUAGAAUUUCUAUCAAAAAUUCAACCUAUUCCGAUUCUUUUUCACCGUUAAACUAGCAAAUAUCUCAUACCGGCCGUUAAAAUUGUCAAUUUUGUGAGAUUUUGAUCGUAAGGUAAAUGAUGUCAAAAAAUUAUAAAAUUUAAUUUCUAGAAGUUUUAAAUGCUCUAGAUAAUGUUUAACGGUGUAGAUUGUCGAUUCGGAAGCUCUAUCAUCGAAAACAACUUAUGAGUACGAGGGCGAUCGUACUCAUAAGAGUAUAGUAGCCGGACUCUAUAUAUAUAAGGAGAUAAAUAGGUGAAUGACUUUGUUCCAUGUACUCUCUUUUAUAGUGUUUGGUAUAGGCUGGGGGAUAUCCUUUUUGUUCCUAGGAUAAUUUUUUUAUUAAAUUACGACUUUAGUUUUAGUUGUUUUUUUCAUGCAUGUUCUUUCAUAAUCUUAUAUAUAUAUAUAUAUAGAACUAGGCUGGAAUACUAUCAAUAGCACCAAGCUAUUGGUGCUAUUGAUUUUUUAGCCCUUAGAUUGAGAAAUGAAUGGUUAGGAUGAUGUGGGCCCCCUAGGGUUGAGUGAGUGAUUGGUUGAAUAGUAUAAUCUAACGGGUAAAAAUAAUCAUAGGGUUAAAUCUAACGGUGGAAACUCGAUAGCACUAAAUCCUUGGUGCUAUCGAUAGUACCCUAGCCGGACUUUUAUAUUAUAUUAUAUAUAUAUAUAUAUAUAUAUAUAAUAUAUAUAUAUAUAUAGAGUCCGGCUGCAAUCUAUCGGUAGCACGGAGGCCUCCGUGCUACCAAGUUGUUUUCGAUGAUGCGGCUUCCAAAUCGACGAUGGGCUCCGUUAGACUUGAUCUACACUAUUGAAAGUAUUUGGAAACUAAAUUUUAAAAUUUUUCGACAUCAUUUGGCUAGUGAUCAAAAGUCUCAAAAUUGACAAUUUUAAUGGUAGAUAUUAUUGAUUUUAGUAAUUUAAGGAUGUAUAAACAAUCCAAAUCAAAUGAAAUUUUUAUAGAAAAUUCUUUUUACUAUUUAGAGUAAGAUCAGUACCUCUGAUCUUAAAUUCAAGUUUUCUAUCAUCAUUUUUUAUGAGAUUUUUAUUUUCAGCCGUUCAUUUUUAGACUACUCGUUUGAUAGGUAAAUGAUAUCGAAAAAUUAUGAAAUUUAGUUUCCAAAUACUUUCAAUAGUGUAGAUCAAGUCUAACGGAGCCGAUCGUCGAUUUGGAAGCCGCAGCAUUGAAAACAACUUGGUAGCACGGAGGCGUCCGUGCUACCGAUAGUAUACCAGCCUAGCUCUCUCUCUCUCUCUUUAUAUAUAUAUAUAUAAGGUAAAUUGCAUUGUUGCCCCCUUGAACUUUUGGCGAAGUUUCACUUUAUCACUCGAACUCCUAAAAUGGACAUUUAACACCCUAAACUCUAAUAUUUCAUUUAUGUUACCCCUUCCGUCAGUUUUCCGUCAAGCUCCGUUAAUCGGAAACUAACGGAAGGGGUAAAACGAAUGAAAUAUUAGAGUUUAGGGUGUUAGAUGUCUAUUUUAGGAGUUUAGGGGGUUAAGUGAAACUCUUCAAAAGUUCAGGAGGUAGCAGUGCAAAUUAUCCUGAAGGACUCUUGACUAUAAAUUAUUUUAUUAUAAUAUAUUACUUAUGGAUUGACUACUAAUCCUCAAGUUAGUGAUCAUGCUCGAUUUUGAAUUUAUAUAUAUUUUUUAUUCUAAAAUAAAUCAUAUUAUAAUUUAUCCUAUAUUUUAUUGUAAUGAAAUAAAAGCGAAAGAAAUGAAUUAGAGUGGCUUAAAGGUAAGAAAAGAGCGAUACUAACUACCUACGAUACUCGAACACUCUACUGUCUUGGUAUACUCGCUAAUAUGGUUGAUUUACAAUAGGUGUCCUCACUCGGAUAUAGAGAUUUUAAUUCUAAGUUAAUUUUCUGUAGUACUCGUUUGUCCCUUUUAUCUUUAGAAGCAUUGUUCUAAAAUAUUAUAAAAUAUUAUUUUAUAUUUUUAUAUUAUAAAUUUUUAAUUGGCUGAAGUGAAGUACAAAAAUUUCAUUUUAGGCUACAAUAAAAUUAUAUUGCAUAGUUUCAUAGAAAAUAAGUGCAUUUUCUAGAACAAUACUUCUAUAGAUAAAAGAGAUAAACGAGUACUACAGAAAAUUAACUGAGAAUUAAAAUCUCUAUAUCCGAGUGAGGACACCUAUUGUAAAUCAACCAUAUUAGCGAGUACACCAGGACAGUAGAGUGUUUGAGCAUAGUAGGUAGUUAGUAUUGCUCUUUUCUUAUCUUUAAGCCACUCUAAUUCAUUUCUUUCGCUUUUAUUUUAUUACAAUAAAAUGUAGGAUAAAUUAUGGUAUAAUUUAUUGGCUAAAUUACAGAAAAUUCCCCCGUCAAAAUCCGAUAUUUCACUUUCCCCUGUCAUUUAUAAACCUACACUUUGCCUCCUUGUAAAAUGAAAAAUGUACACAAGAGGGUGCGGUGUGAACUGUGAUGACAAAAUGACCAUUUUGCUCCUCACCAUUUUGCUCCGCACCAUGUUCACCUGAGAGAAGACUGAGGAUAUUUUGGCAUAAAUAAAUAUAUAAUAAUAUUUUAUAAAUAGAACCCUAACGGAUUACUAACGAUAAGAGAUGAAGUGAAUAUUUUUUAUUUUAUAAGGGGGCAAAGUGUAGGUUUUUAAAUGAUAGGGGGGAAGUGAAAAAUCGGAUUUUGACAGGAAGAUUUUAUGUUUUUUAGCCUAAUUUAUUUUAGGAUAAAAUAUAUAUAUAAAUUCAAAAUCAAGCAUGAUCACUAACUUGAGGGUUAGCAGUCAAUCCAUAAGUAACAUAUCAGGGUAAAUUGCAUUGCUACUUCCUGAACUUUUGGCGAGUUUCACUUAACCCCCAAAUUCCUAAAAUAGAUAUCUAACAUCCUAAACUCUAAUAUUUCAUUUGUUUUAUCCCUUCCGUCAGUUUUCGGUUAAAGGAGCCUGACGGAAAAUUGACGGAAGGGGUAACAUGAAUGAAAUAUUAGAGUUUAGAGUGUUAGAUGUCCAUUUUAGGCGUUCGAGGGGUAAAGUGAAACUUCGCUAAAAGUUCAGUGGGUAACAAUGCAAUUUACCCUAUAUAUAUAUAUAUAUAUAUAUAUAUAUAUAUAUAUAUAUAUAUAUAGAGUUGAGCUAGAAUACUAUCAAUAGCAAACGGACUUCGUUGCUACCCAUUUGUUUUCGAUGAUGGAGCCUCCAAAUCAACGAUCGACACCGUUGAACAUGAUCUAUACCACUUGAAGUGUUUAGAAAUCAAAUUUCAUACAUUUGCGAUAUUGUUCUCUUAUCCAUGGAGUGGACACAAAAAUGAACGGCCAAAAAUGAAUAUUUUUUUAAAAAUGAUGAUAGGAGUCAUGUAAUCAAGAUCAAGAGUAUAGAUCUUGUUUUAAAUAGUUUAAAGAAUUUUCUAACAAAAAUUCAAUUGAUUUGGAUAUUUUUACGCCGUUAGACGAGAAAACGCCUCAUAUCGACCAUUAAUAUUACAAAUUUUGAAAUCCUUUAAUUAUUUGGCUAAUGAUGUUGAAAAGAUUUAAAAUUUGAUUUCUAAACAUUUCAAGUGGUAUAGAUCAUGUUCAAUGGUGUCGAUCAUUGAUUUGGAGGCUCCAUCGAAAACAAAUGGGUGGCAAUGGAGCUCGCUUGCUAUCGAUAGUAUUCUAGCUCAACUCUCUCUCUCUCUCUCUCUCUCUCUCUCUCUCUCUCUCUCUAUAUAUAUAUAUAUAUAUAUAUAUAUAUACAUAUAUUAGUUAUUAAGAUACUUAUGACUCUAUUCUUACAAAUUUUUGUGAGAUAUAAUACUUGAGCCAUUUUUACAGUCAUUAUAGAUAUUAACACACCCUAAAAAGCUAAUUUUGUUAUGAAAAUUAAAUUAACAACAACAUGUGCCAAGGCAUGCUAGUGUGCCAUUGGCACUUGGAGGUGCCGCUGUGCAGUGACAACACGAGUUGUGCUGGGGCUUGACUAUUUGUAGUAGGAAUCAUGAUUAGUAGCUCUUUCUCUUGUACCUCAUUCUAGUUCUCAUCUAAGAAGGUCUAAAAUUCAAUAAAUUCGCACUCAACCUAGGAGUUAGAAAUUAACCUUAAUUUUGGUUUAGAGCCUUAGAAUGAAAAAGUCUAAAGGAUCUUCAAUUUUGAAUUUGUCCAUUCUAAAGGCAUUCAUCUUCAAUUUCAAAUUUGGCUCAGAAUGAUUAGCAUUCACAUGAAUUCUAGCCUUCCAUUUACCUAGAAUUCAAAAACCUUGAUGUUUGUUUGGUUUCUAGUAACUUAAAGAUAAUAACCAACAAUGAGAUCGUCAAUUCAAAUGCUCGUGAGUACUACUUUUAGCCCAAAUCAUCAUAAUUGUAACCUAAGACUCUUCUCUCAUGCAUGUUCAUGCGUUGCAUGUGACACGCACCAUGUAUACAAUUAAAUUUAAUUGGAGUCGCACCCUAUAAUGAUGGUAUAUCACGGAACAGGCUCUUGGACAAUUUCUUCUGAAGUUGUAAUCUAAAAAAGGUAGCUUUAACUCGAAUAACAAAUAUUUUUAAAGGUGACUCAUGCAGCAUAUACCAAAUGAUAUGAGUAUAUAUUGCUUGUAUUUUGGUUCGUAUUUUAAUUUUGGAUGCAUCCCAUUAGCAAGUUUUGAGGUAAUGAGAUAUUCUUAGAAUAUCGGAUUCAGAAUUUAUAAUUUAUUAGUGUAAGAGAGGCUAGAGAGCUUUCCUCAAGUAAUUGAGCAUUAAAUAUUGCUACAUCAAACAACUUAAUUUGGACCAGAUUUUCAUCAAAUAUGAAAUAUUCCUUUUUUUUUCUUUUUCGGUAUUGUAAGCUAAUGAGCUCUUGUAAUUCAAGGUUGUUCAUUUUGCUAUUGGUUCUAUGUUGCUGCCAAUAUUUAUUUAGGAGAUUGGAUACAUUGUAACUUCACUUUUUUUUGUUUGUCUUUUCCUUUUAUUUCCUGUUUGAUAGUGCGUUGCUAAUUUAAGCUUAUUUUCUGCACAUUUCUCCCUUGUGGUGUGUUUCAAGACUAAUUUAACUAUUAGUUACACAAAUUAUUUAUAUUAUAGAGUGAAUUUUGCCUUAGAUGGUGGGGUAACAUAGCGGCUGCUUUUCCCUUGCAUAUUCUUUUUCUUACAUUUUAAAUGCUUAUCCAUAAGCUCUAGGAUAUUUCGAGCAGUUUAGAACUUUAUAUGAACAAAUCUUCUUAUUGGAGACGGAUAUCAUUUUUUGAUCCUUUUUCCUUUGGAUGUUGUCAUUCUUUUUAUUCUUUUGCUGCCCUGAUGUUAUGGUAAUCCAUUGUAGAUGAUCAUUGCCAAAAAUGUUCAUCUGAUGCUAAUAUUUAUCAUAGUGAUAGAGCUAUUUUUAUUAUAUAUAUAUAUAUUUUUUUUUCAGAUUUACUUUACGCACAACGCAGCUUCCUGGUGCAUAUAUAAGAUUAUAAUUGAAUAAGAGAUCUUAUUUAUUUCGGCCUUGUUGACCUUUCCAGGAAAAGAUUCAGGAAAAGAUUCGGGUCGCCCUCUAUGUGCAACAGGCUGCUUUUCAUUUCAUUGAUGGUAUGUCCUUCACCUAAGGUUCUACAUCUGCUUUUGUUUUUUGUAUUUUCUAUUUUCUAUGAUCUGACUCACCUUCUUUUUCAUUUUCUAUAUUAUUUGCUUUCUGCGACAUACAGCUGCUAGUAAGAAAGAGUAUCAGCUAUCAGAAGAGGCUUGUAAAGCUGGAUUUUCUAUCAGUCCAGAUGAGCUAGCAUCUAUUGCUGGUGGGCAUGAUAUGAAAGCUUUGAAGAUACAUGGGGGAGUCGAUGGGAUUUCAAGGAAACUUCGUGUCUCUUUAAACGAUGGCGUUCAUUCUAGCGAUUUAGCUACUAGGCAAAGUGUUUAUGGCGUCAACCGUUAUAUCGAGAAGCCUUCUAGAAGCUUUUGGAUGUUUGUGUGGGAUGCCUUGCAGGACUUGACUCUUAUCAUUCUGAUGGUAUGUGCUUUGAUAUCUGUUGUAGUUGGUCUUGUCACUGAAGGUUGGCCAAAGGGAAUGUAUGAUGGACUUGGAAUUAUACUUAGCAUUUUCUUGGUUGUUCUUGUCACUGCAGUCAGUGACUACAAGCAGUCUCUGCAAUUCAAGGAACUGGACAGGGAAAAGAAAAAGAUAUUUAUUCAUGUUACGAGA